rnacentral:lncRNA from 1 species
GUCUCUCUCGUAUUAACUAAGAGGAUAGGACACGAGAAUUGCAGUUAGAGCGAGCUCAUUUUGAAACCAUCCAUGGGUUAUCACACCCCCCCCCCCGCCCCCCAAAUGUGUAAUCUCAGUGCAUCAAAGUUUGCAUCGCUGUUUUUAAAUUAACCUUUUUUAUCUUUUUUUUAAGAAGUCAGGGAUUUUAAAGCCAAUGGUCAGGGAAAUUCCCAAAAAGCCACGGGAAGUUAGAGAAUUUUGAAAUUUUGAUUAAACUUGCAACCCUGCAGUUCCUAUCCUUUAACGUGUAAAAUAAUAAAAAAAAAAAAAAAAAAAAAAAAAAAUGACGUGUCCUUUACUGAUUUUGAAUUUAAUAUUUUCAGGAGAACCCCCGGACUGAGUCAACAGUGGUAGACGAAGACGAGCUGCCGCCUCCGGACAUGGAGCUCCUGGGCUCGGAAGGCGACACGAUCUCCGAGGAGGAUCUGCCGCAACCGCCGGAGUUCGACGACCUCCCGCUCCCGGAGGACCUGGCCGAGCUGGACGAGUACGUGGUGACGCCGGAGAUCCGGGACCAGAUGGUCCGGCGCAACACCAUCAUCGCGGAGACCCGGCUCUCGGGGCUCUCGGCCGCCUCCAUGAACGAGUCCUCCUCGGAGAUCGACUCCUCUCUGUCGAGCGCGGCGACCAAGAUCCAGGCCGGGAUCCGCGGCUACCUCACGCGGAAGCACCUCAAGAACACCUCCUCGACGACGGCCCCCUCCAUGGACGACUCGGAUCUCUCGACCGGCGAGCCGAACCAGAUCAAGAAGGCCCUCUCCGUCGAGGAGACCGAGAUCCAGCGGCAUCCCUUCUCCCCGGAUGAAAAGUACAUGGUGGGGAAGCGGAUGUCCCUGGACUCGCGGAUCAACCCCUCGAGCGGGAGCCGGGGGCGGGCGCCGAUGCGGAGCACGAUGUCGGAGUGCGCCGACGACCGGGACCAGUGGUUCGUGGGCUCGGAGGCGGAGGAGAAGGCGGCGGCCCGGAUCCAGUCCGGCUACCGGGGCUACAAGACGCGGCAGCGGCUCAAGCGCGGCGACGCCGUCCAGCAGCCCACGACGAGCAGCAGCGUGACCCCGGCCUCCGCCUCCCCAGCCACCGCCGCCUCCCCGCGCACCCACUCCGCCGCCAGCGAGGAGCCACCCACCCCCAAGCACACCGGCGAGUACCAUGACGUCCUGGCCCUGUCGCCGCCCGUCCUCCACAGCGGUCAGUACCCACUUCUUUCAUAAUAAUUUACUGAAAAAAAUAAGUUACGGGCUGAAGACAUACCGUCCGUUCCGGGCUCGGAGGUCGAGAUUUCCGGGUGCCGAAGCCGUAGCUUUGAUAUCUCCGGGUGCUGCGCCCGGAGCUUUUGGCCUCUGAGCCUGGAACGUGGACGGUAUGUCUACCCAGCCCGUAAGCACGGAUUCGAAGGCCAGAGA